AACGAACGCUGGCGGCAUGCCUAACACAUGCAAGUCGAACGAGACCUUCGGGUCUAGUGGCGCACGGGUGAGUAACACGUGGGCAACCUGCCUCAUAGAGGGGAAUAGCCUCCCGAAAGGGAGAUUAAUACCGCAUAAGAUUGUAGCUUCGCAUGAAGUAGCAAUUAAAGGAGCAAUCCGCUAUGAGAUGGGCCCGCGGCGCAUUAGCUAGUUGGUGAGGUAGCGGCUCACCAAGGCGACGAUGCGUAGCCGACCUGAGAGGGUGAUCGGCCACAUUGGGACUGAGACACGGCCCAG
rnacentral:rRNA from 1 species